GCAGCUGUGGAGUAGUAGUGAACUUGCUUCCCUCCCAAGGAAGAGACCUGGGUGCAAUUCCCGGCAGCUGCA
rnacentral:tRNA from 1 species